AUACGUAGGGGGCGAGCGUUGUCCGGAAUGAUUGGGCGUAAAGGGCGCGUAGGCGGCCCGGUAAGUCUGGAGUGAAAGUCCUGUUUUUAAGAUGGGAAUUGCUUUGGAUACUGUCGGGCUUGAGUGCAGGAGAGGUAAGUUGAAUUCCCAGUGUAGCGGUGAAAUGCGUAGAGAUUGGGAGGAACACCAGUGGCGAAGGCGGCUUACUGGACUGUAACUGACGCUGAGGCGCGAAAGUGUGGGGAGCAAACAGGAUUAGAUACCCUGGUAGUCCACACUGUAAACGAUGAAUGCUAGGUGUAGGGGGUAUCGACCCCUUCUGUGCCGCAGUCAACACAAUAAGCAUUCCGCCUGGGGAGUACGGCCGCAAGGUUGAAACUCAAAUGAAUUGACGGGG
rnacentral:rRNA from 1 species